GUUUGAUCAGAAUUGCGUCCAUAGCAGCAGGCUGUUAUUUACAAAUAUCAGACCGUAGAAUGCCGUAAUUGACGAAUCAGAAUCAGGUAUUCAACAAUGGCAUUUAAUAAUGGAACAAUAACAGGGUUUUUCCUGACUCAGAAUGGGCCUUUGGGGGGUGACUACGCAUGACAGUAAGCAUGAUAGGUCCGCUUAUAGUAAAGGAAAAGA